CCCCAGACUCCUACGGGAGGCAGCAGUGAGGAAUAUUGGUCAAUGGACGAGAGUCUGAACCAGCCAAGUAGCGUGAAGGAUGACUGCCCUAUGGGUUGUAAACUUCUUUUAUAUGGGAAUAAAAUGUUCCACGUGUGGGAUUUUGUAUGUACCAUAUGAAUAAGGAUCGGCUAACUCCGUGCCAGCAGCCGCGGUAAUACGGAGGAUCCGAGCGUUAUCCGGAUUUAUUGGGUUUAAAGGGUGCGCAGGCGGAUUUUUAAGUCAGCGGUAAAAUCGUGGGGCUCAACCCCAUCCAGCCGUUGAAACUGGGGAUCUAGAGUGUGCGAGAGGUAUGCGGAAUGCGUGGUGUAGCGGUGAAAUGCAUAGAUAUCACGCAGAACCCCGAUUGCGAAGGCAGCAUACCGGUGCACAACUGACGCUCAGGCACGAAAGCGUGGGUAUCGAACAGGAUUAGAUACCC
rnacentral:rRNA from 1 species